GACGUAGGGCGCGAGCGUUGUCCGGAUUUAUUGGGCGUAAAGAGCUCGUAGGCGGCUUGUUGCGUCGACUGUGAAAACCCGCGGCUUAACUGCGGGCUUGCAGUUGAUACGGGCAGGCUAGAGUUCGGUAGGGGAGACUGGAAUUCCUGGUGUAGCGGUGAAAUGCGCAGAUAUCAGGAGGAACACCGGUGGCGAAGGCGGGUCCCUGGACAACACCUGACACUGAGGCACGAAAGCUAGGGGAGCAAACAGG
rnacentral:rRNA from 1 species